AUUGAACGCUGGCGGCAUGCCUUACACACGCAAGUCGAACGGCAGCACGGGGGCAACCCUGGUGGCGAGUGGCGAACGGGUGAGUAACAUAUCGGAACGUGCCCUGGAGUGGGGGAUAUCUAGUCGAAAGAUUAGCUAAUACCGCAUACGAUCUACGGAUGAAAGUGGGGGAUCGCAAGACCUCAUGCUCGUGGAGCGGC
rnacentral:rRNA from 1 species